AACGAACGCUGGCAGCAUGCCUAACACAUGCAAGUCGAACGAGACCUUCGGGUCUAGUGGCGCACGGGUGCGUAACGCGUGGGAACCUGCCUUUAGGUUCGGAAUAACUCAGAGAAAUUUGAGCUAAUACCGGAUAAUGUCUUCGGACCAAAGAUUUAUCGCCUUUAGAUGGGCCCGCGUAAGAUUAGCUAGUUGGUGGGGUAAAGGCCUACCAAGGCGACGAUCUUUAGCUGGUCUGAGAGGAUGAUCAGCCACACUGGGACUGAGACACGGCCCAGACUCCUACGGGAGGCAGCAGUGGGGAAUAUUGGACAAUGGGCGAAAGCCUGAUCCAGCAAUGCCGCGUGAGUGAUGAAGGCCUUAGGGUUGUAAAAGCUCUUUUUACCCCGAGAAUGAUAAUGACAGUAUCGGGAGAAUAAG
rnacentral:rRNA from 1 species